UACGGGGGGGGCAAGCGUUGUUCGGAAUUACUGGGCGUAAAGGGCGCGUAGGCGGUUUAUUAAGUUAGAUGUGAAAACUCUGGGCUUAACCCAGAGCCUGCAUCUAAAACUGAUAGGCUAGAGUUCUGGAGGGGAUAGCGGAAUUCCUGGUGUAGCGGUGAAAUGCGUAGAUAUCAGGAGGAACACCGGUGGCGAAGGCGGCUAUCUGGACAGAAACUGACGCUGAGGCGCGAAAGCUAGGGGAGCAAACAGG
rnacentral:rRNA from 1 species